CAGCUGAUGACACUGGUGUCUUUCUUCUA
rnacentral:piRNA from 1 species